GGGCGAUUAGCUCAGUCGGUUAGAGCGCUUCUCUGAUAAGGAAGAGGUCGGUGGUUCGAAUCCACCAUCGCCCA
rnacentral:tRNA from 2 species